GGUGGCUUAGUGGUUAAAGCGUUCUUUCUUGGAUGCGGGAGGUCGUGGGUUCGAACCCCUACCAAGUCA